AUGUCUCCAAUGCAUCGCCUAUAUAAAGAAGACUUGAAUAUAAAAUUAAUAGACAACAAUUGUGCACCAAAUAAAAAAUAUUAUUACCCAGUUCUAUCUUGUGCUCUUCAAUUAUGUAUACAUCACUAUUGUAAUAUAGUUUUGUUUAGAAAACAUCUUUGUACAUCAGUGAUUUGUAGUACUCCAGCUGGGGAAUCUGUAGGUUGCUAG